GAUGAACGCUGGCGGCGUGCCUAAUACAUGCAAGUCGAGCGAACAGACGAGGAGCUUGCUCCUCUGACGUUAGCGGCGGACGGGUGAGUAACACGUGGAUAACCUACCUAUAAGACUGGGAUAACUUCGGGAAACCGGAGCUAAUACCGGAUAAUAUAUUGAACCGCAUGGUUCAAUAGUGAAAGACGGUUUUGCUGUCACUUAUAGAUGGAUCCGCGCCGCAUUAGCUAGUUGGUAAGGUACCGGCUUACCAAGGCAACGAUGCGUAGCUGGCCGGAGAGGAGGGUCAGGCACACGGGAACUGAGACCCGGUCACGACUCGUACGGGGGGGAGCAGGGGGGAAGAUUGGACAAUGGGCGAAAGCCUGAUCGAGCAGAGCCGAGUGGGUGAAGAAGGUCUUCGGAUUGUAAAGCACUUUAAGUUGGGAGGAAGGGCAGUAAGUUAAUACCUGGCUGUUUUGAGGUGACCAACAGAAUAAGAACCGGCUAACUUCGUG
rnacentral:rRNA from 1 species